rnacentral:rRNA from 1 species
UUUUAUGAGAGUUUGAUCCUGGCUCAGGACGAACGCUGGCGGCGUGCCUAAUACAUGCAAGUCGAACGCUUCUUUUUCCACCGGAGCUUGCUCCACCGGAAAAAGAGGAGUGGCGAACGGGUGAGUAACACGUGGGUAACCUGCCCAUCAGAAGGGGAUAACACUUGGAAACAGGUGCUAAUACCGUAUAACAAUCAAAACCGCAUGGUUUUGAUUUGAAAGGCGCUUUCGGGUGUCGCUGAUGGAUGGACCCGCGGUGCAUUAGCUAGUUGGUGAGGUAACGGCUCACCAAGGCCACGAUGCAUAGCCGACCUGAGAGGGUGAUCGGCCACAUUGGGACUGAGACACGGCCCAAACUCCUACGGGAGGCAGCAGUAGGGAAUCUUCGGCAAUGGACGAAAGUAUGACCGCGCAACGCCGCGUGAGUGAAGAAGGUUGUUCGGAUCGUAAAACUCUGUUGUUAGAGAAGAACAAG